UACGAAGGGGGCUAGCGUUGUUCGGAAUUACUGGGCGUAAAGCGCACGCAGGCGGACUGAUAAGUCAGGGGUGAAAUCCCGGGGCUCAACCUCGGAAUUGCCUUUGAUACUGCCAGUCUCGAGUCCGGGAGAGGUGAGUGGAAUUCCUAGUGUAGAGGUGAAAUUCGUAGAUAUUAGGAAGAACACCAGUGGCGAAGGCGGCUCACUGGCCCGGUACUGACGCUCAGGUGCGAAAGCGUGGGGAGCAAACAGG
rnacentral:rRNA from 1 species